AUGACCGUUUUUCCCAGGGCCCUGAAAUUGUUAGUUUGCUUUUCUUAUCAGUCAAUCAGGCAGGUGGCUAUCUAUCUAUCUAUCUAUCUAUCUAUCUAUCUAUCUAUCUAUCUAUCUAUCAUCUAUGUAUCUAUCAUCUAUUCAUAUAUCAUGUAUUUCCAUCUCCUUCUAAGUAGAAGAAAACAUUCCUUCAAAGUUAUAGGGUCUAGAUUGCUUUAUAUUCUGUCUAAAGAGCUUGUGCAUUUCUCAAUGACUAUAAAUUUGUUCUGUGCAGUUUUUGUACCCUCGAACUCCAACAAAGUUCCUAUACCAGAGCAGAUGCCUAGAAAAUCUUUGUUCAAUUCAUAGUAGGUCUUAGUAUAUUAAAGUUUCAUUACUGGAACAUCUUCUGAUGCUGUGACAUAUUAGUACACCAAAGCAGAACUCUAUAAACAUAUCACAAAGUGAAUCUUUGACCCCCUGAAGAUGAAGCUUCAAGCACAGAUAGUAGUGUAAAGACAUGGAAGAAAGGCUUUGUGAGAUAACUUCUCUGAAACCCAGCAAAUGCCAUUUUUCCACAUAUGAGCACUUCUUGCAAAAACUCUAACCAUUUGAGGGUUGCACCAGAAAAGGAAGUUUUUGCUUGGUCAAGGAGAAGAAAGUUAUUGGCUCAGGUUGGAGGUAACUAAAAGAGAUUUACUUAUGGACACUAGUUAUUUUUCAUCAUUCAGAGCUGAUAUUUAAAGACUGUGGUCUUUUUCAACUGGAUUAUACAACUAGGUUGAAAACAAUAAUAAAUUAAUAAUAUUAUAAACAAAGACAUUAAUAUCCACAGUUUAUAUAUAUAUAUACACACACAUUUUUAAGAUUUAUUUAUUUAUUUUGGACAGAAUGAGAGAGAGAGAGAGCAUGAGUGCAAGGGAGAGAGCCUGAGGGAGAGGAAGAGAGAGAGAGAAUUUUUCAAGUGGACUCCUUGCUGAGCGCAGAGCCUGAUGCAGGGCUUGAUCUCAUGACUGUGAGAUUAUGACCUGGGCUGAUAUCAAGAGUCCAGAUGCUUAACUGACUGAGCCACCAGGUGCCCACACAGUUAUAUAUUUUUUAAAAAUGACCUGUAUAGAAUAGUAAAUACAAUAUUAACUGGGAUUCAUUUCUUAUCUGUAGAAUUCAUCCUCCUGAGUUCUCACAUUGUAGAUAAGAUAGAAUUACAAAGAUUGGGGAAAAUUUUUAAAAAGUCACAGAGAUGCCAGAUUUUUCUUAGGGGAUUAUUCAGGGUUCGAAGCAGAGGGAUAGAGUCAAGAAAUUCUUUCACAUUUUAACUUACUUUCCUUAAUCUUAUGUCUUGACCUAUAUGGAGCUAUGAGUUUCAACCCAAGUUUUCAUUAACUGAUUUAUAACUCAUCCCUAUAUUAGGAAUGCAGAGAUCCAAUUGUCCUCACUACCACCCCUUCUUCAGUAAUCUCUGGAUUCCUUGCUUGAUCUCCUGGGUUCGCACUCCAUAAACAAUGGGGUUGAGGGCUGCGGGGAUGACGUUGUGGAGGACAUUGAGCAAGACUGGCACAUCAGGGGAGACUUUCUUCUUCAUCAUAUGAGUGAGCACGAAGACCAGAAGGACGGUGCUGAAGAAGAGGAUAAGGAUGAAGUGAGAACCACAUGUGCUCAGGGCCUUGGCCAUGGCACCCUCUGCCUUGAGUCUCAGCACAGCUCGGAGUAUAAGGCCGUAGGAGAGGAAGAUGAGGAUGAGGUCAGAUCCUAGCAGUGUCCAGCCUCCAGCAAAUUGGAGAAUGCGAUUGAUGGUGACAUCAUCACAGGAGAGCUUGGAGACAGACAAAUUGGCAGCAAAUGCAAUUCUCAAUAAUAUUUCUCCCACAAUAAUUGAGUCGAGAUGAUAGAAUGGGGAGAGUCACUGUUACAAUCCCAUUUCUGGCCAAAAUAAAGGCAGCAGCCUUAGCUACAAAUCGUUCAGUGAUGAUUAGAUGGGUACCUCAGUGGGUGGCAGAUGGCCACAUAGCGGUCAUAGGCCAUGACCAUAAAUGUGCAGGACUCCAUGGCAUAGAAACAAUUAAUGAUGUACAUCUGUAGGAAGCAGGCAUCAAAGCUGAUGGACUUGAGGUCAAACCAGAAGAUGACCAGGACCUUGGGGAUGACAGUGAGGCAGAGAACAAUGUCCAGGAGGGAGAGGAGGCUGAGCAGGUAGUACAUGGGCUGGUGUAGAGAGGCCUCCAGCCAGAUGGUGAUCAGGAGAACAGCAUUGGCCCCCAUGGCCACAAGGAACAAGAUGCUGAGGGGCAGGGACAACCAGAGCUGCCAAGUGGGGGACCUGACAAAACAAUUCAGGAGGAACUCUGAAACCCCAGUGGAGCCAUUUCUGUGAGGUGUCAUCUUGUGGAUUUUGUUUCUAUAGAUUUUCUUUCGCGAUCUAAAAAGUUAGGAUCAAAAUUAACCUCUGACUGUAAUUAAAAUGGAAGAGAAAGUCACUUCAUUGGAAUCAACUUAUGGCUCUAUUUUGCUUUAACUGGAGAUUUUGCAUAUUACAUAUAGGAGAAGAAAUUAAUUUCAAUCCUUAACAAAUUUUUUCUCACUUCUGGAAUAUUUCUAAUUUCUUAAUGAAUCAACCUUAUAAAAUAGAAUUAGUAAUUUCAGUUAGCUGUGAGGCAGCAUCCUUACUUUUGAAAAAAUAGGUCCUUUAAUUUAAGCAGUGUGAAGGUGGUGAGAUUG
rnacentral:lncRNA from 1 species